CCUGAGAAACCCAAAAGAUCGAAUGGGGAGAUUCAUCGUCAGCGAUCCAGGCACGUGUGCGGUUCGUGAUGCCAUAGGACUUCGGUCCUGAGGUACACGUUCGUGUGGGUUUUUGCCUGGUAUCGUCGGCGUGCACUUCUCCCCUAGUAGGACGUCGCGACCCGUUGGGUGUCGGUCUACGGCCCGGGUGGUUGCCUGUCAUGUGUACGACGCUUCACGGCGUCAUGUGGCUGACAGACCCCCGGUUGUCUGACCAGCUGCCCGGCGGUACUCGCACGGUAU
rnacentral:rRNA from 1 species